GCAAGUCUGGUGCCAGCAGCCGCGGUAAUUCCAGCUCCAAUAGCGUAUAUUAAAGUUGUUGCAGUUAAAAAGCUCGUAGUUGAAUUUCGGGAUCAAUAUUUCGGUCAUGCCGUUGGUAUGCACUGUUAUCAUUGAUUUCUCACCUUCUAAAGAACCAUAAUGCCAUUAAUUUGGUGUUACGGGGAAUUAGGACUGUUACCUUGAAAAAAUUAGAGUGUUUAAAGCAGGCUCACGCUUGAAUACACUAGCAUGGAAUAAUGAAAUAGGACAUCCGAUUCUAUUUUGUUGGUUUCUAGGAUCGAUGUAAUGAUUAAUAGGGAUAGUUGGGGGCAUUAGUAUUCAAUUGUCAGAGGUGAAAUUCUUGGAUUUAUUGAAGACUAACUACUGCGAAAGCAUUUGCCAAGGAUGUUUUCAUUAAUCAAGAACGAAAGUUAGGGGAUCGAAGACGAUCAGAUACCGUCGUAGUCUUAACCAUAAACUAUGCCGACUAGGGAUCGGAUGAUGUUAAUGUUUUAAUGACUCAUUCGGCGCCUUACGGGAAAC
rnacentral:rRNA from 1 species